CUUUGCCCCUUCCCCAACCCUGUAGGUAAAAAUAACCCCCAUUUUGGCACCUCUGGGGAGUUGGAUGAGGGCAGAGGAAGAGAGUCCCUGAGAAUGCACGGGAGGUAGCAGAAUUCAGGGCCGGGAAUAAAGAAGGAACGGAGGACAUACUCUCUGAAAAUGCAGCUGCCCAAGGUUGGGCUUGGAAAAGCAUUUUGAAGCGGAGAGUGAUUUGGGGAUCCAAGGAGAAGAAAGGAGCGCUUUUACCGAGAUGGGACUGGAACCAGGACAGUGAAGGCCAGCUGCUCAAAAACUGCAGACCAUGACCUCAGAGGGGAAGUUUCUGCAUCCAUCCCAAGUAUUCACCUCAGUCUCAGGCUCCGCCCGGGUUUGACGAUGGGACCGAAAUGAACGAUGUCCGAACGGCCGCCGCCGGAGAAAAUAGCAAAGCUAGCCAGCAAGUUGUCGAAGGAGGUCGGCAGAGAGGGAAGAGUGGGAGGGAUCUCCGGUGCCUGCUCCUUCCUCCGCCCCUGUGGUUGCUCUGGAGAGUGAAUUUGGGAUACAAUGAGUGUUUGAAGAGGGCGUACCAGAAGUCAAACCCCUGGCCUGAAAUCAUGCUAGAGCAACCUCAAGGGUGACCCAUUCACUUACAGAUUUCCACAAAUUUAAAACCAGAACAGAGCGUAGGUAACGGGAGUUUUCUCUAAGCCCAUUGCCUCGUUUUU